rnacentral:rRNA from 1 species
ACUCAAAUGAAUUGACGGGGGCCCGCACAAGCAGCGGAGCGUGUGGUUUAAUUCGAUGCAACACGAAGAACCUUACCAAGGCUUGACAUACUGGAAGUAGAAUACCGAAAGGUCGACGACCUGUUAAAUCAGGAGCCAGCACAGGUGCUGCAUGGCUGUCGUCAGCUCGUGCCGUGAGGUGUUGGGUUAAGUCCCGCAACGAGCGCAACCCUCGUUGCCAGUUGUUUUCUCUGGCGAGACUGCCCCGUAGAACGGGGAGGAAGGUGGGGAUGACGUCAAGUCAGCAUGGCCUUUAUGCCUUGGGCUACACACACGCCACAAUGGUCGGUACAAUUAGUUGCAAUGGAGCGAUCCGGAGCUAAUCCCUAAAACCGAUCUCAGUUCGGAUUGUAGGCUGAAACCUGCCUGCAUGAAGUUGGAGUUGCUAGUAACCGCAUAUCAGCAUGGUGCGGUGAAUACGUUCUCGGGCCUUGUACACACCGCCCGU